rnacentral:lncRNA from 1 species
CACUGCCAACAUACGCAGCAUUGAAUUAAUCACCAUAAAAAAAAGAGCUACAGGUAUAAGAAGGUGAGGGAAGUCGAGGAAAUAGACAGACAAUGGACAUUCUGUCCGUAAAGAUUGUACUGAUAUCACCAUAUCAGUAGUGGUAGUAGAAAUAUACAGAUCGGAGGGCACUAAAGUUGCAGUAGCAGUAGCAGUACGUACAUUGCAGGAAUUAUAUGCUACAGAGAGAGAAAGAAAGCCAAAAUAAGUUGUCCAUCAGAUCGAGCUGGUAUCACCAUAUCAUAGGAAUGAGUCGCAACCAACCUCUCGAUCUGUGCUUCUUUUCAAAUGUCUCGGACUUUCCAUGGUCAGCUCCAUUUGCAAUGAUGAUAUUAGACAUGAUUGCAUAUACUACAUCGUGAAUGAUGUCGAUCUCCCUUCCAUAAGCAGGAAGAGAUAAUUGUGAGUUGCCACUCCAAAACCAGAAGACGUUAGAUGGUGGAGACGUGAGCAUGAAAGGUAAGUUACCUCAAAGCUCAUUGAUGUCUUCUUCUUCUUCAGCAGCCGACUAGGUUUGUCUCGAAGGUGCAGGAAUGCUUGAUGUAGUUUAUAUAAUUGCCACCUCGGCCAUCUUUGAUGGAAAAAGAUGGAAAGUGUCUGAUCAUGGGCCAGUCUGCGCCAUUUUGGAGGCAUCUGAGGAGGAGUUGGGUGGUUCCGUAGACGUCCAGUCUCUGGAGUGUGGUGAAGCUUGCAGGGCAAGCCGUCAACCACUCAGGUAAAUGAAUGAUGAGAGAUCCAAAUGUGCCCAACUUCAAGAGCUCCAGUGCAGGGAGAUCAGAAACAAUCUCCAGAUCUGAUUCACCAAUUAUACUCAGUUCUUUCACAGAAGGGAAACCUCUGAUGGACUUGAGAGCACCCACAUCGGUCAGAUCCAAUGUGGUUAAGCAAGUUGCCUGUUGGAUCAGGCCUUCCGGUAGAGACUUCAACUUGGGGCAAUUUUUGAGGACCAAUUUGUUGAGGCGACCCAUAGCAAAACCUUCCGCUACCCAAUCCCACACUUGCAUGUUAAUCAUAUCCGCGAGUCGCAGCUGCCUUAGUCUCGGAAACAACAUAAGAGGGGGAGAAGAAGAAGAAGAAGAAGAAGAAGGGCGCUUUGAAUUCCGUUCCCGUUCAUGACCAGAAGCAGCAGCAGCUUCACACCCAAAAAAUU